AAGAGGUUAUCUUGAACCGUACGUGUGGAGUGACUUUACUUUGUCUUCUCGGCCAGACCCUGACAACAGAAGGAUUUUACAACAGUAACAAGGUUUUAUGGAGUUUGCUGACUCGUGACGUGAGGAGGAGUCCAAGGAGGGGCAAUCAAGUGAAAAGAAAAUGUCAUCUUACACUGUUUUCCCUCGACUGAUAAUGUACACAGGAGACUGCGAGGGACUCACCUUCGGAAUGCUUUCCAAAUUCCGCAUUACAAUAAAAUAGCUUCAAUGGUCAGUUCAAACUAAAUAUAACUGUUUCGAAAACCACGUGGAAGAUCCGCAGUAAUCGUAGAUAAUAAAUGACAAGAAUGAUUAUAUGACUUUUAAUUUACUCACCAUGAUGCACAUUUAGAGAUUUGAAGCUGUUUACCUUAACUACAUUAAAUUAUACAUUUGCGUGUAACUUUCGAAAUUGAUGUAUUUUGUAUCCUAACUGCGAACAACAGGUUUGAAUCAAUUUUACUGACUCACUGUUUCCAAUGCCAUUUGGUAAUUCUCGAAAUUUCUUCGUCCGUUUUGCAUAUGAAGUCCACAUUUAUUUUCCAAAGUUAAUGUGUAUUUUAAACGUACCAGCACCGGCAAAAAAAACAGCGUUUCUGAUAAAUCAUUCAAUUAUUGCAUCUGGCUGUGUUUAGCUCCGCCAUCACUGCUAACCCGAAUGAUGACUUAUUUAAUCGUAUCUAAUUGCGUAUGUGUGCACGU